AGUAAUGCUUGGGAAUCCAGCUUAUGGAGGGGGAUAACUACGGGAAACUGUAGCUAAUACCGCGUAGAAUCGAGAGAUGAAAGUGUGGGACCUUCGGGCCACAUGCCAUAGGAUGAGCCCAAGUGGGAUUGGGUAGUUGGUGAGGUAAAGGCUCACCAAGCCGACGAUCUCUAGCUGGUCUGAGAGGAUGACCAGCCACACUGGGACUGAGACACGGCCCAG
rnacentral:rRNA from 1 species